rnacentral:rRNA from 1 species
AACGAACGCUGGCGGCAUGCCUAACACAUGCAAGUCGAACGAGACCUUCGGGUCUAGUGGCGCACGGGUGCGUAACGCGUGGGAACCUGCCCUUAGGUUCGGAAUAACUCCCCGAAAGGGGUGCUCAUGCCGGAUAAUGUCUUCGGACCAAAGAUUUAUGGCCUUUGGAUGGGCCCGCGUUGGAUUAGCUAGUUGGUAGGGUAAUAGCCUACCAAGGCGACGAUCCAUAGCUGGUCUGUGAGGAUGAUCAGCCACACUGGGACUGAGACACGGCCCAGACUCCUACGGGAGGCAGCAGUGUGGAAUAUUGGACAAUGGGCGAAAGCCUGAUCCAGCAAUGCCGCGUGAGUGAGGAAGGCCUUAGGGUUGUAAAGCUCUUUUACCCGGGAUGAUAAUGACAGUACCGGGAGAAUAAGCUCCGGCUAACUCCGUG